rnacentral:rRNA from 1 species
UACAGAGGUGGCAAGCGUUGUUCGGAAUUACUGGGCGUAAAGGCGCGUAGGCGGCCUUGUAAGUCCUGUGUGAAAUCCCCCGGCUCAACUGGGGAACUGCACAGGAGACUGCUUGGCUUGAGUUCGGGAGAGGGAAGCGGAAUUCCGGGUGUAGCGGUGAAAUGCGUAGAGAUCGGGAGGAACACCGGCGGCGAAGGCGGCUGCCGUGGACCAGUCCUGACGCUGAGGCGCGAAGCUAGGGGAGCAAACAGG